rnacentral:rRNA from 1 species
CUUUCUCCGCCGGCGACCGGCGCACGGGUGAGUAACACGUAUGCAACCUGCCCCUGUCAGGGGGACAACCCGCCGAAAGGCGGGCUAAACCCGCGUACAUGCCACCGGGGCAUCCCGGAGGCAGGAAAGGCUUCGGCCGGACAGGGAUGGGCAUGCGGCGCAUUAGGUAGACGGCGGGGUAACGGCCCACCGUGCCGACGAUGCGUAGGGGUUCUGAGAGGAAGGCCCCCCACACUGGUACUGAGACACGGACCAGACUCCUACGGGAGGCAGCAG